UACGUAGGGUGCGAGCGUUAAUCGGAAUUACUGGGCGUAAAGCGUGCGCAGGCGGUUCGUUGUGUCGGCGGUGAAAGCCCCGGGCUUAACCUGGGAAUGGCCGUUGAAACUGGCGAACUGGAGUGCGGCAGAGGGGGAUGGAAUUCCGCGUGUAGCAGUGAAAUGCGUAGAUAUGCGGAGGAACACCGAUGGCGAAGGCAGUCCCCUGGGCCUGCACUGACGCUCAUGCACGAAAGCGUGGGGAGCAAACAGG
rnacentral:rRNA from 1 species